rnacentral:rRNA from 1 species
GGAACUAGGCAAAAUGGUGCCGUAACUUCGGGAGAAGGCACGCUGGUGUGUAGGUGAAGCCCCUGCGGUUGGAGCUGAGACCAGUCGAAGAUACCAGCUGGCUGCAACUGUUUAUUAAAAACACAGCACUGUGCAAACACGACAGUGGACGUAUACGGUGUGACGCCUGCCCGGUGCCGGAAGGUUAAUUGAUGGGGUUAUCCGUAUGGAGAAGCUCUUGAUCUAAGCCCCGGUAAACGGCGGCCGUAACUAUAAC